CCUUUUUAUUCUCUUUUUUUGCUCCUUCGUGCCCUAGAAGCUUCCAUACACUCCUCUCCCUCUCAACCCUCACCUCCUCGCUCCUCGCCACCUUGCUCCAUGCCCACGCCGCCAAGUCUUUGAAAUUAAAAGAAAAAUGUCUUAGCUCUUCAAGUCCAACCACCCCAACCCAAAAUCUUCUAAUCUCCACGACCGCACCGUUAUCCACUCGUCUUCGCCGCCGUAAGCCGCCAUCGAUCGCCAUUGCGUCAAGGACGACAUAUCGCAUAUUUUUCGCAGUGUCGCCAACUCCCUCGCUCUGUCGCCGUCGUCUUCCUCUUCCUCUUCUUUUUCUUCUUCUUCUUCUUCUUCCUCCACCCCCGCCGGUGAUUUCUCCUCCUCGCAAGCUCUGAUCGGAAUCCGGAACGAUCUUGUGGAGAUCGGCGGAAGCUUCAAGAACUCUCUCUAGCACAUUUCCUGGAACAGAGUCGUCACCAGAAUCUCCAAGUUCGCUUCUCAGUUGUUGCAGUUGGAGCAUGAUCAACAACGGAGCAACAGCGACGAUGCGGUACCUGGAACCACGAAAGAUAUUAUUCAUUUUGUGAAAGAGAUUUCUACGCGGCCUCAGUGUUGGACCGAAUUCCCCUUAUUGCUCCAUAAUGUGGUCAUGCUUCUAGAGUAUGGAGUAAUAGCUAGCUAUGUUUGGAGUCUGAACGAAGACUUGAGAAAUGGUACGCUCUAAAUCCAUCUAAGGUAGGAUUUAUUGCAAGCACAUCUCAGAAAAUUCCUACUACUCUCUAGAGAGAUUGAAGUGAUUUCUCGGCAACAAUUAUGGGUGCUCUGUUCAGGGCUCGUCAGGUCAUAAUUUGGACAGAUGUUGAUGGUGUGUAUAGUGCAGAUCUUAGAAAAGUUGGUGAUGUUGUGAUUUUGAAGACACUGUCUUAUCAAGAAGCGUGGGGAAUGUUAGAUAUGGCAUUCCCAUUAUAAUAAGGAAUGUCUUCAACCUCUCUUCUUCUGGAACAAAGAUUUGCCACCCUUCUAUUAUUGGUGAUGAAGAUAAGCAGAUAUUCAAAAAUUAUGUCAAAGGCAUUACAACAAUAGACAACUUGGCACUUGUAAAUGUAGAGGGGUACAGCUAGCGCUAUUUUUGGUGUAGUAAAAGACGUUGGAGCUAAUGUUAUUAUGAUAUCUCAGGUGCAAUCACUAUCUUUUGUUGUUCUUUUGUGUGCUAUUGUUAUUAAAAUUGAAAACAGGCGAACAUAAAUGUGCGUGCUGUAGCACAAGGUUCAUUCCAGAUUUUUUCUCUCAAGAACCACAACAACAAUGACCAUUAUUGCGCCUGGUUUAAUUGGAAGCGCACUGCUUGACCAAUCAAGUCAGGUGAACUUUUUGUAGAUAAUUUUGCAUCUUGCUGUAUUUUUUUGGGAUAUAAUAUAGUAACCUACAUGUAUUUAUAAUUAAUUAGUUGCUAUAUAUUUUGACCUCUAUUUUUGUGCAAAAUUAAAUUAAUCUUUUUCUUCCGCAAA